GUGCCCUCCUUCAACUGGACGCAGGGAGGCGGUGGGUGGGGCAGGGGCCAGAAAACAAGUCAACUUCUAACUUCCCCUUCACCACGGGCGGCAUGUUUCUCACGUCCGUCUUCAUUGGCUCACCCACCAGAGCCAACUGAUAGCCAGACUACGAAACGACAGUCAGGUCCAGCAGCUGAGGCGAGGCGGAGCUCCACGCAGACCCACUCUGUUUCCAUCCAGCCAAUCAGCGCCAGCAUCCAUUGGUCACGUGGUCAUCGUGCACAUGCGCACACGAGAGAACGCCUCAUUCAGGUCCUGGCGUGGCGGAGGAGCCGGGCCAUAGUUUCUUGCUGCGUGUUGAAACUCUUCUCCAGUUGUACUCUCGCGGGUAAUUUCCCUGCGAAUAGCCCCACCAGGUUCCCCAGGAUGGAGAUGAAUUCCAGAGAUGAAUUUUGCUGUAUUCAACACAGCACAUUGCAUUUAAAAUGGAAGAGCCAAGAAGAAACCACCAGUCACUGGUCUGGGGAACAUAGACGGCCAGCCAUACAUGGUACUCGGGAAGCAGGGGGUGUCAGGGGGCUUCUUGGCAGUUCUGCUUAUAAUCAGAUGAUCUUGAAGAGAAGUGGAAAAGGAAGAACCAGGGCCAGUUGAACACAGGGAAUUUUCUACAGAAUAUCAGUCCGUGUGCACGUGUGCUGGCCAGAGUUCACCCACGUGUGCCAGCCGUUGUCCAGGCUGUGAGCUCCUGCUUUGUUGAGGCACAAGGACUGGUCAGCCCAGCAUAAGGCAGCUGUAGGUGCUCUGCUUUGUUCUCUGUGUCUUAAUAAACAGCCGCUACCUCUUCUCAUGGUAUUGGGGGCUCAGCUCCUUAGAAUUGUGGGCUGGGAGGCUUAUUUAAGGGGAUGUAUAACUGUCUUAUGCCCUCCUGCACUCNNNNNNNNNNNNNNNNNNNNNNNNNNNNNNNNNNNNNNNNNNNNNNNNNNNNNNNNNNNNNNNNNNNNNNNNNNNNNNNNNNNNNNNNNNNNNNNNNNNUUAAGGGGAUGUAUAACUGUCUUAUGCCCUCCUGCACUCAAGAUUCUCUUUUAUAUUUCUGAACAGUGGUGCUGUUGGCAGUGAAACAAGAAAAAAUGUCACAUGGGUUUGACCCAAUGCUGAACUUGAAUUUCUUUUAGUUUUCCCUAGAAAUUCCUCCAAAGCAAUAACCAUGGAGCCCUUUCUGAGUCUGAUCACUAGCAACACCCUCACCACUUUUCAGAGCCACUGCAGAAGCCAUUCUGAAAUCAGGUUUACUCCCCAAGGGGAAUUGGGGUGAUGCUCAAAGCCUUUGGCCCUGACUGCCCUCCCCACCCGCGCCCUCUCCUCUGGAGAGUGGCUUUACAUAACUGCACGUUUGUGUGAUGACUUGCCUGUUCGUCAUUCUGGCAUUCCAACACCCCAUCCCUCUGGUAAUUGCCUAUCUCUGUAGACAUGUAGAACUUGUGGCCUUGGCCUAUUUUUGGGAGACCAUAGAUCUUGGAAUAUCAAAAGAUGANNNNNNNNNNAUAGCUCAACUCACUCAUUCAUUCAGUUGAUAUUUGUUAAGAACCUCCUUCUGUCUGUUGGGCAGUGUGAAAAGGGGCUUGGAUACAGUGGUGAUCAGAUAAGUCAAUCCAGGAGUCAGAUGACUGAUUGGAAGUUGUAAACUGAGAUGCAUAUUGUGAGGAAGGAAAAGAAUAAGACUGAAGGGGGGGGUCUAUUAUAAAUGUCACACUUAGUCUGAGCAGCCAGGGAAUGUUUUCAGUGAAAGAAUCAUUGAACAGAGACCCGGAGGCCAUGCAUGGGAUGGCUGGAUGAAGGGCCAGUUGUGCUGGACUUUGAUCCUUCUGGACGUGGGGAGCAGGAUAUGCAAAGGCCUGUGUUAGAGCCACCAGACCUGGUAGGGGAUGCAGAAGCCAAGGUGGGCAGAGCACAGAGAACAAGGGCAUCUGCCUAGGGUCCUGGGAGGCUUAUCAGAUAAUUGUUUUUUAUUGUUUUAAUUGAAGUGUUGUUUAUUUACAGUAUUGUGUUAAUUUACGCUCUCCAGCCAACUGAUUGUUAUAUAUACAUUUUUAAAUGUUUUUUUCCAUUUUGAUUUAAAACAGAAUAUUGAAUAUAAUGCCCUGUGCUAUACAGUAGGACUUUGUGGUUAAUCCAUCCUAUAUAUCAUAGUUUGCAUCUGCCAACCCCAAGCUCCCAAUUCAUCUCUCUCCCAUCCCCUUCUCCCACCUACCUGCCCUCCUGCCCCAUAACCACAGAUCUGUUCUCUAUGUCUGUGAGUCUGUUUCUGCUUUAUAGAUAGGAAGCAGUCUGUUUCUGCUUCAUUUGUGUCAUAUUUUAGAUUCCACUUAUAAGUGGUAUCAUAUGAUCUCGGUCUUUCUGCUUUCUUCACUUGGUGUGGUAAUCUCUAGUUGCAUCCAUGUUGCUGCAAACGGCAUUAUUUUCCUUUUUUAUGACUGGGUAAAGCUCAACAUUCAGAAAACUAAGAUCAUGGCAUCUGGUCCCAUCCCU
ensembl:lncRNA